CUGAACUUGGAGGGAACACCCUGAGUGCCUGUGACUUGCAUGUCCAUGAACCAGAGCAAAGAUGGGCUCGGUGCUGUUUGUGUGUCUCCUGCUCAGGACGUGGACGGCUGUGGUUGCUGUGGGUGGAGAGCGCAGAUCAGGAGAGCGCGGCUGGAAGGGCUCAGUGCCUGGUACAAUUUAUGCUGCAUUUAAUCAGCGGUGCCUGCGAGAUCGUCUUUGUUCCUUUACAAUACUGGCAAGAAAAUAUUUCAGAACUACAAUAGCCUACCAGUGAUAUUGACUUUGAAUUGAGUCUAGUUUCUCUGUGCAUUUGAAAUAACAAUGAGGUCAUUAACUGUGAGGUUGGUAUUGGGCUAAGCAAACUGACUAAGAAGUGGUUACAGAGAAUACAAAAACCGUCUCCUAAGCAAGAGAAUACUUCAGAUGUGUGAGGAAAAGAGUUUUGGCUUUCAAAGUGGCUGUAUAGACAAUCAUUCUUUUAAGACACUUGACUGAAAAGUUGUUUAUUUGAUCUCACAUGAAGAUGGAAAAUCUCUCAGCACAGAAUCCUGAGCCAUUAGGAGAUUUGGAUUAGGAAGGAAUCAUUUCUGUUCUGAGAGUAAGGGAAUACUGCAGCUGAGAUUUUUAUUCUACAAAGAUAUAUAAAGGGCUAGCAGCAGAACAUUGUGCUGCUGCAUUGGCAAGAUGACAAGAUUUGAAAGUGGCAGAUUUUAAAUAAAUAGGUGGAAACACAAUUACUCA
rnacentral:lncRNA from 1 species